ACCCUGGUGGCUCAAUGGUAAAGAAUCUGCCUGCAGUGCAGGAGACCUGGGUUCGAUUCCUGGGUGGGGAA
rnacentral:tRNA from 1 species